GAUGAACGCUGGCGGCGUGCCUAAUACAUGCAAGUCGAGCGAACAGACGAGGAGCUUGCUCCUCUGACGUUAGCGGCGGACGGGUGAGUAACACGUGGAUAACCUACCUAUAAGACUGGGAUAACUUCGGGAAACCGGAGCUAAUACCGGAGAAUAUAUUGAACCGCAUGGUGCAAUAGUGAAAGACGGUUUUGCUGGCACGUAUAGAGGGAUCCGCGCCGCAUUAGCGGGUUGUUAAGGUAAAGGGUUACCAAGGCAACGAUGCGUAGCCGACCUGAGGGGGUGAUCGGCCACCCUGGAACUUGGACACGGUCCAGACUCCUGCGGGACGCCGCAGUCUGGAAUCGUCCGCAAUGGGCGAAAGCCUGACGGAGCAACGCCGCGUGAGUGAUGAAGGUCUUCGGAUCGUAAAACUCUGUUAUGAGGGAAGAACAAAUGUGUAAGUAACUAUGCACGUAUUGACGGUACCUAAUCAGAAAGCAACGGCUAACUACGUG
rnacentral:rRNA from 1 species